AGUGAACGCUGGCGGUAGGCCUAACACAUGCAAGUCGAACGGCAGCACAGGAGAGCUUGCUCUCUGGGUGGCGAGUGGCGGACGGGUGAGGAAUACAUCGGAAUCUACUUUUUCGUGGGGGAUAACGUAGGGAAACUUACGCUAAUACCGCAUACGACCUACGGGUGAAAGCAGGGGAUCUUCGGACCUUGCGCGAUUGAAUGAGCCGAUGUCGGAUUAGCUAGUUGGCGGGGUAAAGGCCAACCAAGGCGACGAUCCGUAGCUGGUCUGAGAGGAUGAUCAGCCACACUGGAACUGAGACACGGUCCAGACUCCUACGGGAGGCAGCAGUGGGGAAUAUUGAACAAUGGGCGCAAGCCUGAUCCAGCCAUACCGCGUGGGUGAAGAAGGCCUUCGGGUUGUAAAGCCCUUUUGUUGGGAAAGAAAUCCAGCUGGUUAAUACCCGGCUGGGAUGACGGUACCCAAAGAAUAAGCACCGGCUAACUUCGUGCCAGCCGCCGCGGUAA
rnacentral:rRNA from 1 species